UUCGACCAUAUCCCAUUGAAACACUAGUUCUCAUACAAUCAUCAAAGUUAAGCAAUGUUGAGCCUGGUCAGUACCUAGAUGGGUGACCGCUUAGGAAUAUCAAGUGCUGUAAG
rnacentral:rRNA from 1 species